rnacentral:tRNA from 1 species
GGGAAUAUGGCUUAGUGGUUACAGUGCUUGCCUAGCAUGCAUGAAGCCCUGGGUUCGAUUCCUCAGUACCA